GAUGAACGCUAGCGGCAGGCCUAAUACAUGCAAGUCGAACGGUAAGUAGUGUAGCAAUACAUUGCCUAGAGUGACGUAAGGGUGCGUAACGAGUAUGCAAUCUGCCCAUAACUGGAGGAUAGCCCCCCGAAAGGGGAAUUAACACUCCAUAAGAUAAUUGGAUGGCAUCAUUUGAUUAUUAAAACUCCGGUGGUUAUGGAUGAGCAUGCUUCUGAUUAGCUAGUUGGUAGUGUAACGGACUACCAAGGUGAUGAUCAGUAGGGGAACUGAGAGGUUGAUCCCCCACACUGGCACUGAGAUACGGGCCAGACUCCUACGGGAGGCAGCAGUAGGGAAUAUUGGACAAUGGGUGGAAGCCUGAUCCAGCCAUGCCGCGUGCAGGAAGAAGGCCUUAUGGGUUGUAAACUGCUUUUGCCAGGGGAUAAAAAGCCCAUGCGUGGGAAAUUGAAGGUACCUGGUGAAUAAGCCACGGCUAACUACGUGCCAGCCGCCGCAGUAAAAC
rnacentral:rRNA from 1 species